AAAAAAUUAGUUAAUUAAUAACAUUAAAUUGUCAUUUUAAAAUAAUUAUUUAUAAUAAUAUUUUUUU
rnacentral:tRNA from 1 species